CUGUUUAUCAAAAACAUAGCUUAUUGGGAAAAAAUAAUAAGUGCAUUCUGCCCACUGUUUAUAAUUAACGGCCGCGUUAUUUUGAGCGUGCAAAGGUAGCAUAAUAAUUUGUUUUUUAAUUAGAAACUGGAAUGAAUGGAAAGACGAGGUUUAAGCUGUCUCACUUCGAAAGGUAAAAAUUAACCUCCAGGUGAAGAGGCCUGGAUUUUUAUGAAAGACAAGAAGACCCUGUCGAGCUGGCCUAAAUUUAAGUUAUAGGUUAAUUGGGGCGAUUUGAGAGAAAAUAAUCCUCUCUUUUUAGAAGAGGAGCUCUUUUAUAUGAUCCGAAAAUUUCGAACAAAGAUAAGCUACCGCAGGGAUAACAGGCUAAUUUUUUCUUAGAGUACAAAUUCACGAAAAAGUUUGGCACCUCGAUGUUGGCUUGGGGUACUAUUUUAAUGUAGAAGUUAAGAGAAGUGGUUUGUUCAACCAUAAAACCCCCACGUGAUCUGAGUUCAGACCGG
rnacentral:rRNA from 1 species